rnacentral:rRNA from 1 species
UACGAAGGGUGCUAGCGUUGUUCGGAAUCACUGGGCGUAAAGCGCGCGUAGGCGGCUUUGCAAGUCAGAGGUGAAAUCCCACGGCUUAACCGUGGAACUGCCUUUGAAACUGCAAAGCUGGAGUGUCGGAGGGGAUAGCGGAAUUGCUAAUGUAGAGGUGAAAUUCGUAGAUAUUAGCAGGAACACCGGUGGCGAAGGCGGCUAUCUGGACGACAACUGACGCUGAGGCGCGAAAGCGUGGGGAUCAAACAGG